UCGCACGAGAAAGUGGAGCAUCCAUGAGUAAAGUGGCGUACGGGUGAGUAACACGUGGAUAAUCUACCUUUUAGUGGGGAAUACCUCCUGGAAACGGGAGACAAUACCGCAUAAGCUCGUAAGAGGAAAGCAGCAAUGCGCUGAAAGAGGAGUCCGCGGCUGAUUAGCUAGUUGGCGGGGUAACGGCCCACCAAGGCGAAGAUCGGUAGCCGGCCUGAGAGGGCACACGGCCACACUGGCACUGAAACACGGGCCAGACUCCUACGGGAGGCAGCAGUGGGGAAUCUUGCACAAUGGAGGAAACUCUGAUGCAGCGACGCCGCGUGAGCGAUGAAGCCCUUCGGGGUGUAAAGCUCUUUCGGCAGGAACGAUAAUGACGGUACCUGCAGAAGAAGCUGCGGCUAACUACGUGCCAGCAGCCGCGGUAAUACGUAGGCAGCAAGCGUUGUUCGGAAUUACUGGGCGUAAAGAGUGUGUAGGCGGUUCUCUAAGUUCCGUGUGAAAUCUCCCGGCUUAACUGGGAGGGUGCGCGGAAAACUGGAGGGCUGGAGUAUGGGAGAGGAAAGCGGAAUUCCUGGUGUAGCGGUGAAAUGCGUAGAUAUCAGGAGGAACACCUGCGGUGUAGACAGCUUUCUGGACCAUCACUGACGCUGAGACACGAAAGCGUGGGUAGCAAACAGGAUUAGAUACCCUGGUAGUCCACGCCCUAAACGAUGCAUACUUGGUGUGAGCCGUUCAUUCGGUUCGUGCCGGAAGUAACGCGUUAAGUAUGC
rnacentral:rRNA from 1 species